UUACAACGGAGAGUUUGAUCCUGGCUCAGGACGAACGCUGGCGGCGUGCUUAACACAUGCAAGUCUACGAGAAAAAGGUAGCAAUAUCUUGAGUAAAGUGGCGCAAGGGUGAGUAAUAUAUAAGUAAUCUGCCCAUGGGUUUAGAAUAACUCGUCGAAAGGCGGGCUAAUACUAAAUAAUGCAGCGGCACCGCAUGGUGAUGUUGUUAAAGCCUAUAUGGCGCCUAUGGAUGAGCUUGUAUCAGAUUAGCUAGUUGGUAAGGUAACGGCUUACCAAGGCAACGAUCUGUAGCUGGUCUGAGAGGAUGAUCAGCCACACUGGAACUGAGACACGGUCCAGACUCCUACGGGAGGCAGCAGUGAGG
rnacentral:rRNA from 1 species